UACGUAUGGUGCAAGCGUUAUCCGGAUUUACUGGGUGUAAAGGGAGCGCAGGCGGAAGGCUAAGUCUGAUGUGAAAGCCCGGGGCUCAACCCCGGUACUGCAUUGGAAACUGGUCAUCUAGAGUGUCGGAGGGGUAAGUGGAAUUCCUAGUGUAGCGGUGAAAUGCGUAGAUAUUAGGAGGAACACCAGUGGCGAAGGCGGCUUACUGGACGAUAACUAACGCUGAGGCUCGAAAGCGUGGGGAGCAAACAGG
rnacentral:rRNA from 1 species